rnacentral:rRNA from 1 species
CCUACGGGUGGCAGCAGUGGGGAAUAUUGCGCAAUGGGCGAAAGCCUGACGCAGCGACGCCGCGUGAGGGAUGAAGGUCUUCGGAUCGUAAACCUCUGUCAGCGGGGAAGAAGGGGCACUGUGCUAAUCAGCAGUGAAUUGACGGUACCCGCAAAGGAAGCACCGGCUAACUCCGUGCCAGCAGCCGCGGUAAUACGGAGGGUGCGAGCGUUAGUCGGAAUUACUGGGCGUAAAGCGCUCGUAGGCGGGAUGUCAAGUCAAGUGUGAAAUCCCCGGGCUCAACCUGGGAAUUGCCUUCGAAACUGGCAGACUUGAGUGUGUGAGAGGAUAGUGGAAUUCCAGGUGUAGGGGUGAAAUCCGUAGAUAUCUGGAGGAACAUCAGUGGCGAAGGCGACUCUCUGGCACAUAACUGACGCUGAGGCGCGAAAGCGUGGGUAGCAAACAGGAUUAGAUACCCGUGUAGUC